rnacentral:rRNA from 1 species
CACGUAGGGUGCGAGCGUUGUCCGGAAUUAUUGGGCGUAAAGAGCUCGUAGGCGGUGUGUCGCGUCGGCCGUGAAAACCUGCAGCUUAACUGUGGGCUUGCGGUCGAUACGGGCAUCACUGGAGUUCGGCAGGGGAGACUGGAAUUCCUGGUGUAGUGGUGAAAUGCGCAGAUAUCAGGAGGAACACCGGUGGCGAAGGCGGGUCUCUGGGCCGUAACUGACGCUGAGGAGCGAAAGCGUGGGGAGCGAACAGG